rnacentral:lncRNA from 1 species
CUGGCUGGUUCCAAAUAGGCAUGACACCUAAGGCCAGAGUUCCCAGAACAUUCCUCCUUGAAGGAAUGAGGAAGCAAGAAAAAGCACAUCUGGAGUCCACGGGCCAAGUCUGGCAGUGGUCAGUCCUGAGCCAACAUGGUCUGUGAGGGUUGGGCCCAGGUGGGAAAAUCCAGGGGCCCCCGAUGAUGAACAGGCAGCCACCAGGGGGCGCUGUGGGGGCUGGUGGCUCACCCGGGCACAGGGGCUGGGGGUGGGGGCAGGAUGCAGGGGGCUCUGUCUCCUCUCACCUCUUUCUUUCAAGGCCCUUCCUUUGCUUCUCACUGGCUCACUUGUUCAUACUUAAAAGGCAGUGGGACUGUGUCAAGAGCUGGUCCCUAGAGUCCAACCGCAGCCCUGCCCUCCUGGCCAUCUGAUCACAGCAAGUAACCUCACGCCCUCACUGUGCAGACGAGCUGGGACUUGGCACGUGCUGUGCGGUACACAGUUUCAGCACUGACAACCCAGCUCCCAGCUCUUGUCACUUCCCUUAGGAGACCAAGUCCACCCACCUGGGCUCCCGGGGCCCACUCCCACCCGCUGGCCCCAGUCAGGCCUCCUUGUCCCUGUGCUGUCCCCGCCUGCCGUGUGUCCCCAGGCUGGUCCUGGCAGCUGCAGGAUGAAGCAAGCUCUUACCCAUAAAUGUCCUCUGCGAGCCUCUGAAUCAUCGUUCUCGAAACUUUGCCUUGGAAUUUGUUCUGUUGCCCCCAGUUGAGUGUGUCAAACAGGGAGCCCCAAGGCUGGGGGUGGGGGGGUGGGGGCGGGGGCGGGGGGCGGCUGCAGAACGUCACUUCCCUGGGAACAGCUCCCGAGUUCAGCUGGCUCACACAUGGCUCAGAUGUGGGCUCCACAUCCUCUGCCAGGGAAAAUAGAAGACGUACAAAAAUUAAAAAAGAAAGAACGUUUUCCUCAGCCGCAGUCUCCACGGAGCUUUCAGCAAAGGUCCAGGCCUGAGCGUGGCCAGAGCCCCAGCAAGCAUGGAAGCAGCCUUCCUCUGAAGACAAUCAGACCAGAGGGAACAGGCAGUGGGCGACUGGACCCCUCAGCACAGAGGGCUCGGGGGGUGGGGGCACUGACCCCCGGGGAAGUGGAGUCCUGCCCAGUGGGAGAAAGGGAAGGGGGACCCCGGGUGGGAGUGGGGCUCUGCCCCAGGCACAGACUCCUCACAUGGCCCCUGGGCCGGAAGUGUGGGCAGUGAGCAGGGCAGUGACAGUGACCAACGCUUGUGGAGCACGUGCCCCCUCUUUCUCAUUUCCCCCAUGUUUCCCGAAACAGGCCCAAGGAGAAGUGAGGGGUCCAGGUCACAGCAUGUCAGGGGCUGCCUGUCUGUGAGGUCAGGCCGAAUGCUCUUUCCAUCCAGUCUACACAGCCUCUGGCGCCAGGCCUCGGGGCACCAGCUCCUCCUGCCGAGGCCCAAGCAUGCCCAGGAGCCGCCCCGAUGCCUCAGUCUGGGCAGAGGUGGAAACUCACCUGCCACCAGGACCAGUGUGUCCCAUUUUUAACUGGGGCAGCCACAGAGCCCUGGGACUGGGGACGGGACCGGCGGAGCCUGGGAGGCCGGGAAGAGACCCUCUGAGGCUGCCAGGGCCUCAGAGGCAGCAGCUCAGACGCGGCCCAGCUGUGGCCUAGAUGAGGGCGUCUGUGGGGGCGGGUUCAGGAAGGCUCAGGGAGGCAGCUCCGCACAGCAGGGCCCAGGCUCCGGCACCAGGCCCUCCCGGGCUCUUGGAGUCCUGAGUCUGCCUCCAGGGACCAAGGGGGAAGGACCCAGGUCCAUCCCAUCCCUCUGUACCUCCCUUUCAGGGGAGGUCCCCUAGAAACACCCCCUUGUGUGCAGUCUAGACCUCACUGGGGGACAAGGGUCACAGGAGGGUGGUUCCCCGAGUCAUGGGACCUGGGGUGUCCAGACAGCGUCUAGCCAUCCACGCGACUGGCAGAAUGAUUUUCUUGGUUUCUGCCAACUUCAAACUCAUAUGUGAUUUUCCACAGCCCCGUGCCCCUGCCCAGCUCCCUGGGCCUGGACUGCUGAGUGAGCAGAGUUCCCCUGAAUUCCUUCCACUCACCGCAGGACCCAGCCCCGGGGAGCCUGGGGGGUCACCGCAGCCGCAGGGGGGCUGAGGGGCUGAGGGGGCGGGAGGCGGGCUUCCAGCGCCUGAGUAAUUCUGCAGCCGCAGACGGUGCCGAGGGCAUGUGGCAGCAUC